rnacentral:rRNA from 1 species
CCUACGGGAGGCAGCAGUGAGGAAUAUUGGUCAAUGGACGCAAGUCUGAACCAGCCAUGCCGCGUGCAGGAAGACGGCUCUAGGAGUUGUAAACUGCUUUUGUACGAGGGUAAACGCAGAUACGCGUAUCUGUCUGAAAGGAUCGUACGAAUAAGGGUCGGCUAACUCCGUGCCAGCAGCCGCGGUACGACGGAGGGUUCAAGCGUUAUCCGGAUUUAUUGGGUUUAAAGGGUGCGUAGGCGGUCGGAUAAGUUAGAGGUGAAAUCCCGAGGCUCAACUUCGGAAUUGCCUCUGAUACUGUUAGGCUAGAGAGUAGUAGCGGUAGGCGGAAUGUAUGGUGUAGCGGUGAAAUGCUUAGAGAUCAUACAGAACACCGAUUGCGAAGGCAGCUUACCAAGCUACUUCUGACGUUGAGGCACGAAAGCGUGGGGAGCAAACAGGAUUAGAUACCCCUGUAGUC